rnacentral:rRNA from 1 species
UUGGAGGGCAAGUCUGGUGCCAGCAGCCGCGGUAAUUCCAGCUCCAAUAGCGUAUAUUAAAGUUGUUGCAGUUAAAAAGCUCGUAGUUGAAUUUCGGGAUCAAGGGAUCGGUCAUGCCUUGGUAUGUACUGGUUUUAUUGGUUCUCACCUUCUAAAGAACCAUAAUGUCAUUUAUUUGAUGUUAUGGGGAAUUAGGACUGUUACCUUGAAAAAAUUAGAGUGUUUAAAGCAAGCUUACGCUUGAAUACAUUAGCAUGGAAUAAUGAAAUAGGACGUUCGAUCCUAUUUUGUUGGUUUCUAGGAUUGACGUAAUGAUUAAUAGGGAUAGUUGGGGGCAUUAGUAUUCAAUUGUCAGAGGUGAAAUUCUUGGAUUUAUUGAAGACUAACUACUGCGAAAGCAUUUGCCAAGGAUGUUUUCAUUAAUCAAGAACGAAAGUUAGGGGAUCGAAGACGAUCAGAUACCGUCGUAGUCUUAACCAUAAACUAUGCCGACUAGGGGAUCGGGAUGAUGUUAAUUUUUAAUGACUCAUUCGGCGCCUUAC